rnacentral:tRNA from 1 species
AUUAUCUUGGCAGAAUAGUGUAAUUGAUUUAGAAUCAUUUUAAGUAAUUAGUAUUACAGAUAAUA